GGGGUGAUGGCGUGCCUUUUGGAGAAUGAUCCUGCGAGUUACGUUCAAUGGCGAGGUUAAGUUUAACGGAGCCGAAGGGAAACCGAGUCUGAAUAGGGCGAUUUAGUCGUUGGGCGUAGACGCGAAACCUGGUGAUCUAAGCCUGUCCAGGGUGAAGCUGUGGUAAGACACAGUGGAGGCCCGAACUCACCGCCGUUGAAAAGUUGGGAGAUGAGGUAGGUUUAGGGGUGAAAAGCCAAUCGAACCAGGAGAUAGCUCGUUCUCUCCGAAAUGCAUUUAGGUGCAGCCUUGAGUGUUCAAUUAUGGGGGUAGAGCACUGAAUGAUCUAGGGGGCGUAUUGCUUACCGAAAUCAAUCAAACUCCGAAUACCAUAAUU
rnacentral:ncRNA from 1 species